CCUACGGGUGGCAGCAGUGAGGAAUAUUGGUCAAUGGGCGCGAGUCUGAACCAGCCAAGUAGCGUGAAGGAUGGCUGCCCUACGGGUUGUAAACUGCUUUUAUGAAGGGAUAAACUGAGUCACGUGUGCCUUUUUGUAUGUACUUUAUGAAUAAGGACCGGCUAACUCCGUGCCAGCAGCCGCGGUAAUACGGAGGGUCCGAGCGUUAUCCGGAUUUAUUGGGUUUAAAGGGAGCGUAGAUGGGUUGUUAAGUCAGUUGUGAAAUGUUGCGGCUCAACCGUAAAAUUGCAGUUGUUACUGGCAGUCUUGAGUACAGUUGAGGUAGGCGGAAUUCGUGGUGUAGCGGUGAAAUGCUUAGAUAUCACGAAGAACUCCGAUUGCGAAGGCAGCUUACUAAACUGCCACUGACAUUGAGGCUCGAAAGUGUGGGUAUCAAACAGGAUUAGAUACCCGAGUAGUC
rnacentral:rRNA from 1 species